rnacentral:siRNA from 1 species
UGGAGAGAAUUGGCCAACUUUCA